UGCUGGACUCACAGCUGUGACUUACUACUGC
rnacentral:piRNA from 1 species